CUGUCUCAUGCAUCAUAGUUAAGUCUACAAUCAGUAAUGUCAAAGUGAGACAACAGUGUAAGGCCUGCAGGGGGACUGAACCAAGAUCUUUGCUGAGGAUGAAGGGCAAGAGCUUACAACUAAGGCUUACAACCAGUUAGAAUGCAUCAUAGACUAGCUCACCCAAGGCUGGAAAAUCACAUUGAACUCAAUGAUCUGACAUUGUAGAAGGAGGAUAAACAAUGAUAAAAUUAAAGGCCAUUGGUCUAAAAAUUAGAUAGAUAUCGUAGCACAGUGGUCUCAAACUUAGUGCCAUGGAGGGCCGUGUGUAUGCUGGUUUUUAUUCCAGCCUCAGCUCUUGAUUAUAUAAUUAGUUCAAUUAUUUGCUGAAUUAGGGAUUCAGGUUUGCACAUAAUGGUAACACGACAUCUAUGGUGACCCGCAUUGUCUAAAUAAAUAAUUAAUAAUAAAUAAACCAUUUGCAAUAUAGCACAAUGUGAAUGUGGUACUGCUAUUCUUCAUGGCAUGCAUAGCUAUUUCUAACAUAAAGUGGUUAAAAAGGGUAAAUAAUCCUUCAAAACAUGAAAAGUGUCUAAUUAAUAAAAGUGAACAUCUUGUUAAUUCUGGGAUUGCAAUUGUGGCUGGAAAAAAAAACCCAGCAUACAGUUUCCUAGGACCUAGCAUACACAGAGUUUCCUAGGAAGAGCCUUUGUUUUUUUGUUUUUUGGUCAUUUGUGGUCUUAUACUGCCAUCUUGUGGUCUAAAAAUAGAAGUUCAUAGAAAUAUCAGAGUUAAAUGUUGAAAAAGAAGGUUCGUUCCUUUUUUGCAUUUUUUUUUUCAAAUGGAUUGUUGGUGCAUUUCUGUGCAAAACCCAGAACAUAAAUAUUUAUGAAUAAUAAUUUGUUCACAAAUGUUUAAUGUGGAAUAUUAAUAAACUGCAGUGGAGUUCCUGAAUCUGGAAAGGACACAGUUAUGAUGUGUUAAACAAAGAUAUUUAGAGUGUAAGAAAUUAAGGAUAACACGCACAUAUCUGAAUAUUUAUUAUGGACAAGUGAGUGUCUUCACAUGGGGACAAGUUGGCCCUGUGCUGGGGUACCUACCCCAGUUUAUGACUCGCUGGUGAUGUAUCAAGCUAUUACUGUUUAAUUCCUUCUGCCAUUUCAGAUCAUUGACUGAACCAAGAUCUUUGUUGAGGAAGAAACCCUUGCACACUAUGUGAUGUGUCUCCACUACGUCUGUUAAGUUUUGUGGGAUAUGUAGUCAAUAACGCGUCGCGAUUGCUGAAGCCGGCGAGACGGUGGACUUCAUUUCCCGAGUAAACCAUCGUCGAAAGACAUGCGGUGGCCAUCUGCAACUCGUAAAUAUACUUCCGCCUGCAGUGCUGCAGAAAGCUUGUCUGCAGAAGCAGGAAGUCCCCAGAUGGAGGCGCUGUUGACAUGAAGACAGUGAGACCUCAGAAGUAGAAACUGAAGGGACGAACGGGGAUUCGAACCCUGAAGCUCAGCGUUCCAAGCUUUGGACAAUACCUUUACGCCACCAUCAUGUUAGCGGUUGCGCGGCUGCAGAAAUGGCCUGAUGAUGAGACAAUCCAAGUAUAAGCGAAACAAAGACGAAGGGGGGUUCGAACCCCCAACCUCUGCGUCCGUAGGCAAAGACAAUACCGUUGCGCCACCUUCUCUUAUGUGAAUCGGCCGGCUCUUCUGUGGGUAGAAGAAGAUGACACAACAGAAAUAUUUACAAAAAAAUCUCAGAAAUUUUGCCUUCAUCUACUAACUUCGGACCUGAAGGUGAUGAACCUUGUUACCUAUGUCUUACAGCUGGUUCUUAGAGCCACAGCAGAGAGGUGAAGAGCCAGAGAGACAGAGCAGAGGGGAGAUUGAACUUACUAUCUUGGGAUUCGUGGAACAGGGUACUCUUGCACCAGGAAGCCCUUCAAGAGUUCCUGGGUGUUCAUUAGUGAACUUAUUCGCAGACCGAUAAGAAUUAAACAGGAAGAGCUCAGCUUUGAAUAGCAGAGAUCCAGAUUAGGUGCUCUCCUAAAAUGAACUCUACGAAACUGUGGAAAAAUAUAAACUGACACCCUAAUAUAUUUUGGCUUAUUUAAAUAAAGCUUUUGAUUCAUUGGACUUCCCUUGAAUUUGCGAUUUAUGAUUAGAACAGGUGACUGACAAGUCCCAUUCAAACAGAUGACCUAAUUAAAUGUGUAAUGGUGUUGCAUCUUAUAGGUGUGCCUGAAAGUGAUUAGUUGGUUACAUUUUUUAUGCCUUUAAAUUUUUCAUCCUUGUGAAAGAAAACAUUCAAUCUAGCCAGUAAUGUACUAUGGAGAACAGUCAUUCUGUUUUUAUAAAGUGCAGUGGAUAUGUAUUGGGGGACAGGGCUUGUAAAUGCAUUUUAUUUUCUUUUUAAUAAUGAAAUAAAAUUAAUUGUGUUUUGUAAUUUUAUUCUGCAAUUACAUUUCAUUCUUGAAAGUUGUGCUGCCAUUGCUGAAUAAAAAUAAUGCACAAUAAGAACAGUGA